rnacentral:tRNA from 1 species
GCCUGGGUGGUUCAGUCAGCUAAGCUUCCGACUUUAGCUCGGGUCAUGAUCUCAUGGUUUGUGGGUUCGAGCCCCACGCCGGGCU